rnacentral:rRNA from 1 species
GACGAACGCUGGCGGCGUGCUUAACACAUGCAAGUCGAGCGGAAAGGCCCUUUCGGGGUACUCGAGCGGCGAACGGGUGAGUAACACGUGAGUAAUCUGCCCUUGGCUUUGGGAUAACUACCGGAAACGGUGGCUAAUACCGGAUACGACGUACUCAGGCAUCUGAUGUGCGUGGAAAGUUUUUUCGGCCAGGGAUGUGCUCGCGGCCUAUCAGCUUGUUGGUGGGGUAAUGGCCUACCAAGGCUUCGACGGGUAGCCGGCCUGAGAGGUGACCGGCACACUGGGACUGAGACACGGCCCAGACUCCUACGGGAGGCAGCAGUGGGGAAUAUUGGACAAUGGGCGAAGCCUGAUCCAGC